rnacentral:rRNA from 1 species
GGCCAUCCCGGCUUACCAACCCGAUGCAAACUGCGAAUACCGGAGAAUGUUAUCACGGGAGACACACGGCGGGUGCUAACGUCCGUCGUGAAGAGGGAAACAACCCAGACCGCCAGCUAAGGUCCCAUCAGAAAUAGAUGGUAUUGAAUGUGUACAAUUAUGGCACGAUGAGCCGAAUAAUUUAGAUCCUGACUGCAUGUUUGUGGCGCUAUCCGCUAGCGUAGCGACAGAAGAUAUUCAUCGUUGUAAAAAAAA